rnacentral:rRNA from 1 species
UACGUAGGGGGGCAAGCGUUGUCCGGAUUUAUUGGGCGUAAAGCGCGUGUAGGCGGCCAGGUAGGUCCGCUGUGAAAACUCGAGGCUCAACCUCGAGACGCCGAUGGAAACCAUCUGACUAGAGUCCGGAAGAGGAGAGUGGAAUUCCUGGUGUAGCGGUGAAAUGCGCAGAUAUCAGGAAGAACACCCGUGGCUAAGGCGGCUCUCUAGUACGGUACUGACGCUGAGACGCGAAAGCGUGGGGAGCGAACAGG